GGCCAAUCAACCCAAAACUGAAAACUGCAUCUGUACGAAGCCCUGGAGGCAAAGAUUCAGAAAUUUUGGUUUAGGUUUGUUCUUCCAAAGGCUGAGGACAACUCUAGGCUUCAUCAACCCAGAAAAAAGGACAGAAGGAUAUUCACAGCAGACCUGGCUAACUGGACUUUCUCUUCCUUUGCUCACCCACAAAGGAUUCCUUCCUGUAGCUUGAGCCACCAUGGAAGGCCAAGAUUGCUCUGCUGGCCAUGGAGGUCGAAGAGACCCCUGAAGCCAGGAAGGAAACCGGCUCACUGGUUUAAUGAUGAGGAUCCCUCCCUGCAAAGACACAGUGAACAGGGAGACCUGGAGCCUUGCACCUCCUGCUGCUAGGCUUGUCUCCUCCUGCUUCUUCCCACCUAUCUGUGCCCACGGCAUUGGCUCCCUGCCUUCUUCCCUCUCCUGCAGGCCCAGCCAAGUCUUUUUUGGCUCUUUUUCAACUUUCAGUAGCUAAAUGAGUUAAUUCAAAAGAGAGCCAAAAGGAAACUGUGUUUUAGCAUUUAAUCCAAAAUGCUUUCUCCCAUUCAAUUUUUCCAUUAUUAAGACUUACACUUUAAACCACCAAUAAAUAACUAUUUUUUUUAAGGACACACACGUUUGUUGGAUAGGGAAGGGAGGAGGUGGGGGAGGGCUGAAUAUGAUCAAAAAGUAUCAUGAGAGGGUCUCAAAGAACUAGUAAAAAUGAAGAGGAAAAAAUAAAACAAAGUAAACAUAAUUUAAUUUUUUUUUUUACAAAAACCCUCUCAAGCAUAAAAAGAAAAUCACAAUUUUUUUAAAGUAUCGUUUCCACAAUCUGGAGGAAUAGUCUUCCAGGCUUAAGGCAUCAACCUGCUGACUCCAGUUACUGGCAAAGAAGUCCCGGAAGAGAAGCUGCAGCUGCAAUUUUGAAAUAGUUCUGAGUACAGAGUGAUCUCUUUCUAGUCAGACCCCUGAUUGUGGAGAAGAAGAUCAUCCCUUUAGUACUCCAACAAAAGUUAGGCAUUAAUUCACUGACCCUUGGCCUCUGGGCAGUCACUGUGUGUCCUUGGGUCCUUAGAGACCAGCUGCAUACCCUUAUUAAACAAUAAGUGAU